AGAAUGAAGAUGGCUUCCUGUCCCGCUAGCGUCACGUCGGGAUCUGCCUUCACCAAGGCCUUCACUCGCGCCAGAGGCAACCUCGAGAGACGAGCCCCAGGCACACUCGUUGGGGCCUGGGGCUGCGAGGCCGCUGCCUCCCCAGCAGGCCAUUAUAACUACAUUCUUAGAAUGUGAUCCCUUUCAACAUUUCCUGCACCUCUGCUUCUGCACACUACCACCAAAAGACAAGAAAGGCAAGGAGACGUGACUGGAGCAAGAAAAACAGUGUUUUUCACACAAGGAUGUCCACUCCUUGUUGGGAAUGGCUUAAGAUCGACCUGGGAAAGCAAAACAUCGCCAUAUCAUUUGGAGGAAAGGCACUGGUUGGAAGAGCCUGUUGGCGUGGCAAAGCCAAGGUCUUUAAAGUCCUCAGAGAAGGCAGGCAUAGCCACCACUGGAGGACUUCCUGAUAUGUGGUACAGAGACUGAUGAGGGCAUGGGGUGACAACCUUAGGUGCCAACAGCAAGGGGAUGGAUAUACAGGGUAAAGGAGGCUUGCUGCCAUCCUACGCCUUUGAACGCCACAAAUCAGAGAUGGUACCAUGGAGGAACAUGAACAGGUAAAUAACAUCUUUGUGUGGCGUGUUGCAGCUGUCACAGCCGCCAGCAGACAGCCGACUCCCUCACCAGUAAACACCGCGGCUUAGGUGUUGCCCACCGGGCACCGGAAGGCGGCCCCCUUCUCGCUCUCCAGUGAAUGUUCCUAAAACAACUGCGGGGUCCAAGAGCACAGGGAGAACAGCGCCCCUGACGCAGGCUGCGCACCCGCCCGGAGGAGGCAGUGCGUCAGUCCUGAGGUCACCGCCACCCGCUCCCGGGGGACGGCCGCCUGGGCAGGUGAGGAGGCGACCACCUCCCAGACGCCUGCCGGAGCUGCGGCGCACCGACUCCCUGCUUCUCCGAGCGGCGAGCGCCACCUGGAGGCUCCCUCGAGAUCUGCAUUUAGGAGGCGACGGGUCCUUUCAUCGUUUUAUUCAUUAAACAUUUAUCGAGGCCUGGAGCGAUGGUUCAAGCCUGUAAUCCCAGCACUUUGGGAGACCGAGACGGGCGGAUCACUUGAGGUCAGGAGUUGGAGACCAGCCUGGCCAACAUGGCGAAACCCCAUCUCUACUAAAAAUACAAAAAUUAGCCGGGCACGGUGGCGCACACCUGUAAUCCCAGCUACUCAUGAUGAGGCUGAGGCACAAGAAUCGCUUGAACCCGAGAGGCGGAAGUUGCAGUGAGCGGAGAUGGAGCCACUGUGUGUUAGGCUCUGGCGACGUGGGGAGAAAUAAAGAUAAUGUCUUGUUUCCCAGGGCAUUAAUAGCGUGAUGGGGAAGACAGGCCAUCAACAAUGUGCAACACUAAGGGCUAGGAAAGAGGUGGAUACAAAGGAGGGAAUAAGGAAUGUGGUCAUUCCUUAAGGUGUUUAUUGGUGCCAGGUACUGUUCAAGGCACCAAAAAGAAUGGAACCAAACAGAGAUCCUGCUCCCAAAGAGCUCAUAGUGGAAGGACAGCCAGACAAGCUUAGAAUUACGGGACAGGCCUAAGAAGGAGCCAGACUGGGGACCAGAGGCGUCCGAAGGGAAGUCCAGGAAGUACCGCAGGAAAACGUGAUAUAUAUUAAAUCUUAAAGAAUGGGCAGGAUUUUGCCAGGCUUAGUGACAAGAUAUCUUCCGUAAAAUCGUGGAACUGAAAAGAAAGGAUAUAGGUUGAAGAAGGGCUAGUUCUGUGUCUGAAAUAGAAGGAACAUGAAAGAGAAGUGCUGGGACAUGGGGCAAAAAAGGGAGUUUGGGGCCAGAUCGUGAAAGCCUUGGUUUAACAGGUGAAAAGUUCAAAUUUGAUCCAGGUAGCUGGCAGAGUCAGAGGUUCUAAAGCAGAGACCUGCUCUAUAGAAAGCUCACCAUGAAGUACAGCAGUGAUGGUGGAUGAAGAUACCAACAGCUCAACCUCCUAUGUGCCAGGGAAAUGCUGAGCGCUUAGCACCUGAUAUUUAUCUUAAUUCUCUAAAUGGGCCUAUGGGGUAAGCAUAUUAUUAUCCCAAUUUUAUUGGAAUACUUCCCUGGUAGGGCCCCUAAACAGGUAGCCAUCAAAUGCCUGAUAAAUUCCAGCUAGCUUUAAAUUCUAGUCGCUACAGAGCAGAGCCCUUCCAUCGCACUGAGCUGAAGGAGCCAGAUGGGCAUUACAGACAAGACCCACUCAGUAGGUGAAAUCAACAGAGCCUAAUGACUAUCUAGAUCUGCAAGAUGAAGAAUAGGAAAGAGCUAAAGACAAGAUUAUGAUGAAAAGUUUGAUUUUGAAAUAAUACAUUUUUAAGAGCUGAGAAAAACCGUAUCCAUCAUCCAGAACAACCGCCUAUUCUACCCACACUCCCAGCACCACAUCAGUACACGUGUGCCUGUACUCACCAUUCUGCCUUGCCUCCUGCUGGCAUGGACGAGUGCUGCGUGUUCCUAAGUGCCACCUUCCGCUGUGCACUCGAUCCCAUCCUCGCGCCCACGCAAGAACAUCGCUUCAUCAAUUGGUCCUUCUCUCACAUAUGAAAUUUUUGGUCUUUCUACUGAGUCAUUCCCAUAAAUAUACAUGUGUACUACAAUUUCUCUCAUCGUAAAAAAUAAUAAAAAUAUUUCCUUGACCUCAAA
rnacentral:lncRNA from 1 species